UGGGGAAUAUUGGGCAAUGGGCGAAAGCCUGACCCAGCAACGCCGCGUGAGUGAUGAAGGCCUUCGGGUUGUAAAACUCUUUGGACAGGGACGAAGAAAGUGACGGUACCUGUAGAACAAGCCACGGCUAACUACGUGCCAGCAGCCGCGGUAAUACGUAGGUGGCGAGCGUUAUCCGGAUUUACUGGGCGUAACGGGCGUGUAGGCGGCUAGAUAAGUGUGAUGUUUAAAUCCAAGGCUUAACCUUGGGGUUCAUUACAAACUGUUUAGCUUGAGUGCUAGAGAGAAUAGUGGAAUUCCUAGUGUAGCGGUAAAAUACGUAGAUAUUAGGAGGAACACCGGUGGCGAAGGCGACUAUCUGGACAGUAACUGACGCUGAGGCGCGAAAGCGUGGGAAGCAAACAGG
rnacentral:rRNA from 1 species